GACGAACGCUGGCGGCGUGCUUAACACAUGCAAGUCGAACGGAAAGGCCCUGCUUUUGUGGGGUGCUCGAGUGGCGAACGGGUGAGUAACACGUGAGUAACCUGCCCUUGACUUUGGGAUAACUUCAGGAAACUGGGGCUAAUACCGGAUAGGAGCUCCUGCUGCAUGGUGGGGGUUGGAAAGUUUCGGCGGGUGGGGAUGGACUCGCGGCUUAUCAGCUUGUUGGUGGGGUAGUGGCUUACCAAGGCUUUGACGGGUAGCCGGCCUGAGAGGGUGACCGGCCACAUUGGGACUGAGAUACGGCCCAGAGUCCUACGGGAGGCAGAAGUGGGGAAUAUUGCACAAUGGGAGGAAGACUGAUGCAGCAACGCCGCGUGCGGGAUGACGGCCUUCGGGUUGUAAACCGCUUUCGCCUGUGACGAAGAGUGAGUGACGGUAAUGGGUAAAGAAGCACCGGCUAACUACGUG
rnacentral:rRNA from 1 species